rnacentral:tRNA from 1 species
UCCAGUGUCGCCUAGUGGCAAGGCGCCCGGUUGUUAACCGGUACUACGGAGGUUCGAUUCCUCCCGCUGGAGCCA